AGAAUACACAAACCAUAAUAAUCAUUAACCAGGAACAAGUUGUCUGAUCCAAAGGUUAGGAAACUUAGCUGUUGCUUCAGCCAAGCGUGUCAGCUGGUAACACAUUUGAUCUCACAAAGAAAACUUAACUCAGUAUGUUCUAUUUUAAGAAAUCUUUCUGGACACAUGCAGAAAACCAAGGGUCUCUUUAGACUACAUAACAACAAGUGAUUUUACAAAACAAAACACAAAGCAAGAAGCUGGCCCAUGGCUAGUAAUGGCAGAGUGAAGAGGCAGAUUGCUAUCAGCUGGGGGUUAAAAAGGCUGUUGUCAUCCAUUGGACCAAUGCUGAGGCAGCAAUCAUCUUGAAUGGCCCAGUCCCAGAACUGUCCGUCAAAAUCAUCCAGAUCUAGAGACCAGAUGAAGGCUCCUCCAAAUUUGUGAUCUUUCAAAUACUGUGCCUAUGGGAGAGGAAGUUUUGUUGUUUUAAUACAAAGACCAUCACUGAUCUGUGAUGUUUUAUGUUUAUUCUGAUGCAAAUUGCUGUUAGAUUGAAAUUAAAUUUACUGGGAGCUAUCAGUACAGUCUAACCUUUGCCUUCAUUUUGUUUUUGAUUUAAAGUUUUUCCUACACUCCAGAAAAUGAUUUUCUCCAUUUAUGUGUAACAAUAUUAUUACCAUGUAUUGUACAAUGUGUCACAAACUGCAAACAUUCUGUGAUAUAUGCAACAUAUGCAGCAGUGGUAAUUGGAGUACAACCAAAUCACAUUAUUUCUGUUCUAACAGAUAUAUAAAGUUUGUGGCACUGUACUGUACGAAUUAGACCAUAUUCUCUCCUCUGUCUUUGAUGUUUAUUUGAUUUGUGCACCUGGUUUGGAUUUCCACAUGUGCCAAAAAAAGAUUUCAGACCUGAGGUGAUAUUUGUACCACCUCUUGCUGCUUAAUCUAAACCAAGAUACUGAUAGCAAGUAGUGAUAGUGAUACACUACUUUU